CCUACGGGACGCAGCAGUAGGGAAUCUUCGGCAAUGGGCGAAAGCCUGACCGAGCAACGCCGCGUGAAUGAAGAAGGCCUUCGGGUUGUAGAAUUCUGUUAUAAGGGAAGAAAGGUGAUAGGAGGAAAUGACUAUCAAUUGACGGUACCUUAUGAGAAAGCCACGGCUAACUACGUGCCAGCAGCCGCGGUAAUACGUAGGUGGCAAGCGUUAUCCGGAAUCACUGGGCGUAAAGGGCGCGUAGGCGGUUUAAUAAGUCAG
rnacentral:rRNA from 1 species